rnacentral:rRNA from 1 species
UGGGAUUAGAUACCCCACUAUGCUUAGCCCUAAACAUUGACAACUUAAUACACCCGUUGUCCGCCCGGGAACUACGAGCGCUAGCUUAAAACCCAAAGGACUUGGCGGUGCUUUAGAUCCACCUAGAGGAGCCUGUUCUAGAACCGAUAAUCCCCGUUAAACCUCACCCCUUCUUGCUCUAUCCGCCUAUAUACCGCCGUCGCAAGCUUACCCUUUGAAGGUCCAAUAGUAAGCAAAAUCGGCACUGCCCAGAACGUCAGGUCGAGGUGUAGCGAAUGAGGGGGGAAGAAAUGGGCUACAUUCCCUAACCCCAGGGAAUUACGAAUAAUCACGCUGAAACGCGUAUUUGAAGGAGGAUUUAGUAGUAAGCAUGAAAACAGA